UACGUAGGGGGCAAGCGUUGUCCGGAUUUAUUGGGCGUAAAGAGCGUGUAGGCGGCUUGGUAGGUCUUGCGUCAAAACCUGAGGCUCAACCUCAGUUCGCGUGGGAAACCACCUAGCUAGAGUCCGGAAGAGGAGAACGGAAUUCCCAGUGUAGCGGUGAAAUGCGCAGAUAUUGGGAGGAACACCAGUGGCGAAGGCGGCACUCUGGGCCAGUACUGACACUGAGGAGCGAAAGCGUGGGGAGCGAACAGG
rnacentral:rRNA from 1 species